AGACUUUGCUGAUGUUCCUCCAACCCAGAAGCACCGAGGGGGCACAGCUCACGACAGUCACGAGGGAACGUGUGACAGAAUUAAUCAUCCUGCUGGGCUGCACACCGAGGGAAGGGAGCAGACGAGCUCUGGCAAGGCUGUUGUUAGCACUGAGAAACUGCAACAAAAAAGAGGCAGACUGCAAGCCAGACGUGUGUCAGUCACCGAGUGAGACACGCUAUGAUUUAUCAACGUAACAACAGUUGACGGGAACAUGGAUCUCCCAUUUCAAAGUGUUGUCUCUGUGUAGAUUAAGAGUAGUAUCUGUCAUCAGGAAACAAUGGGGAAAGAAAUAUGUUUGAUAAAAGCAAUCCCGUGCUCUCCCGGAGACAGAAACCGCUGUGUCGUUGGAAUGGAAGUAAAGGAUUGCUCUGCAAGUUCCAUCCCGGGCAGCAAAAAGAAAAUGUGUUGUGACAAGAGGAAGUGCAAAUAAUUAAUAACAGAGGAUCAAAUGAAAGGAGUGGCUUUGCAAGGAGUGACUAAUGCUGAGUGUGUUCCAGCAGAGCCCGGAUUGCACUGUGGACAGAGGAGCUCUCGUGGCCCGGGCGCACAGCAGGCAGGGCCCCGGCCCCGCGGCUCCACGGGGCAGCUCCCCUUUCAAAGGCAGGGCUGCUUUUCCUCUGAGCUCCCCAGCUGCUGCACACGGGGUCCCCAGCACUGCAGCACUCUGGCUGUUGUGUACACAGAGAGCAACACCAGAGCAUCAAACAUGGAACAAGCUCGGGAGCGCUUUGCCAGCAGCUGAUUACACUGGGAAGUGCAUCUCAAAGCAGCAGGGCAGCCGAGUAAAACAAAAGCCACGGAGCCAGUGCUGCCCUGUUGUUUGGCACAUCCUUGUGCUUCCCUUAAUUCUGCCUCAGAGCUUGGAAGGGAAGGCCAAAGCUUCUUAUUUGCUAAUUAAGGUUCCACCCAAUUCAAACACCCAACAAAGGACAUCCCCAAACAGAGGAACCUGCCAGCCCUCCUGGCCCUGCCAACAGGCUGAUGUCUCAGUUCAGUGCUCUCCCAACACAGAGAGUGAAAGAGCCCUGGACAGUGGCAAAUCCAGCUGUGUGCACACACACAUUGUUGUGCUGGCACACACCUCUGAUUGGGAUCCAAAGGCUUCAGCUCCCUGGUUUUGUUGUGCACACUCCAGACACCCCCCAGACAGGGGUAAAACAGAAAGACAUUGAAACAACACAGCUCUAUUUUAUGGUGUCAAAUGGCUAAUGACAGUAAUUAAGGAUUUAAAAGGCCUUUUUCAAGGGGCAUUAUCUAAGAUACCAUCAUGCCUGUAAUCAGUCAGGGAAGAAUUGCUUGAUCAAGCCAAGAAGGCAACAAAAAUAGCCCAACCUCUUGCCAUCUGCUCCAGCCACCACAUCCCACCCCACUGCCUGAAUGCAGCAGUGAGUCACAACAGGACACAGAUGAGCAGGUUGUGUCCCUGUCAUUUCAGCUGAACGUGCAGGGGCUGUUGAAGUGUUCCAGUGGGCUCCCAAAACAAAACCUGUGUCGUUCCUGGACCAGUAGCUCCAACAGCAUUUUGCCUUCCCCCUUUUGUGGAUUCAUUGUGCCUGUGCAGCAAGGGAGAAGACGGGUCUUUGGUUGGCUGUGAAAGUUUUCGUCACCCCCAAGCAACAGGAAAGGAAUUUCCAGGUGGAAUUAGCAAAGCCUCCACCCCUACAGUCCAAGCAGCUGCUGAGUAUCACUGAUCAUUCCAUCAAAUGGAGCAUUCACCACCCUCCUGGUAAGAACAGGUUACUGGAAAACAUUCCUCGUUACAAUUCCUCUUUGGCAUCACAUUGCAAGACAUCUGGCACUGAUGGUUGGAGUUUGUGUUUAACUAAACCACAUGGACAGGCAGGUGGUUUAAGUGUAAUGCAAAAUAGCUGCAUAUUUAUCUGCCUUUAUCAGCUCUCCUUCCUGUGAUCUCUCAGUAAAUAAAUACCACAUCAGCUGCCUGCACGUACCAUAAGCACCCAGAUCCAUCCCAUCCCACGUGGUAAUGGUGCUAAAUCUGCCCAGAGCAGCAAAUUACAAACAGCAGCACACCCAGAGCAUCUUCCCAACUGCUUCCUCUCUGGCUCCCUGCCUGCUCUGCACUGCAAGACUUGGGUAAUGUUUGCACUUGCACAGCUCCUGGAAGAUGAGGACACUCAAAUACAGAAAUUAAUAUUCACAGGAGAGCUGUCAGGGGAAAGGGAAGCGUUUUCCCCGAAGUGCACUGUUACAGUACAGUGUGUUUGACUGGCACCUGAGCUCCUUGCCUUCCCAGGGAGAAACAGGAGAUGCAUAAUCUGUUUGUACUCUUCCCCAUCCAACCAGAACACCCUUUCAAAGGAUUCCUGCCAUCAGCAGGCAAUAUAAUCCCACGGAUUUACGUGGCUGUGGUCGGUGUUACGCCACCUUCCAACAGGAGAGGCUUCAAAGCAGGAAGCAGAGUUGUGUUCCAGAGGAGAGGGGGAAGCGGGACAGCCACAACCUUGGGAGGGCUCAAAGACACAUCUCGUGCCUGAUCUCACAGCAGUGAACCAGGCUGAUGGACAACUUCUAAAUCCAGUGAGAGCCUCAGAGGAAGCCUGGCCAGAGAAGUCCAUCUGUGCCUCCCACUUGUAUAUUCCUGGCUUUGGCUGAGCUCUGAGCGCCGCGGACACUGAGAGGUGGAACAAAGCCUUGGGUUUUCAAGGGGAACUCAAGGCCUUCUCAAUCCUCUGAAAGGCAAAGUGUACACAUGAUAAGCCAAGAGAGCCAUUCCAUGCUGCAGUCACAUGCUGUGUGGAAGCUGUAAUCUCACAAGGACACAGAUAUGGCCAUGCAAAUAUGGGUUAUGCCUGUGCUAACAACCAGCUUCUGUCCCCACAGCUCCUGAGUGGCCUCUAAUCUGGCUGCUAAUGCAGGUGAAAGCUCGUGCUGAAGAAGCUUCAUUUCUCUUGUGCUCCCAUUAGCCAGGAACCUGCUGCCCUUCCAUCCCCUGACUUGAGAGGUGAGGACAUAAAAUGGCAACUUCUGGGAUUACAUCUUUGGAGGUGAAAAGGAGAGGAGCUGCCCCAGAGGGGACGGAUGUCACCAUUGCAGGCAGGAGGAGCAGCAGGAGGGCGGUUGGUGUUGGGAAACCAGCUGCAUUUUCAACAUCCCCUUCAGCCAAACCACCUCUAAGAGUCCUCCCAAGAGCCAGGCUGAGGCAGCCCAGCUCCAGCCAGCUGUGCCAUCCCACUGCUUCCCUCUGCAGAGCUCACCCUGGGUACAGCAACAACACUCUGGGAAAUCCCAGCAUGGGCUAAAUGAGCUGUAAACCUACCUCAGAUGGUCCAAGCAAACCCAACUGCACAGUGGGAGCAGGGAAUUGCCUUUGCAUCUGCCUGGGAGAGGCUCCUGCACCCAGAGCUGGCAGCAGAAUCUGAGACAGGGGAGGAAGAAAGCAGACACAGGAGGGAAAAGGCUGCAGACAUCUUGAGGGGAGGGCCUGUCUCCAUAGAUGUUUGUCACUGUGGAAUUCAAUCGUGGGUAAAGGCCAAACUUCCCUCAGACAGCCUGAAAACAAGGUCCUGUCUCUGUCUCCAGACCCAGCAGUGGGUCCUUCCCAAGGUGACACCUGCCCAGGGCUCUGGGCCCCAAAACCACCCAGAGCUCAGCCAAGAGCCCGGGGAUCCCCCAGAGAGAGGGGCCUUUGUGCAGCCCUGGGCACGGCUCUGGGUGCCAGAGGCGACUGGCACAGGAGCCCAGUGGGGUCCCAGCUGCAGCAGUGACACUGAUUGUCCAGGGACACAACAAUGGCACUUGUCUGACCGGGCAGGCCACGACCAGCCCAGCGUGUUUCCCUUUGGGAAAGCAUUUCGCCUGGAAGUGAAUUUCCAAAACAAAUGCCUCUAACUCCAAGCCUUUGCAGACUUCCUGCUGGCAAGGGCAGUUUGUUCAUUCCAAAAAGGAGAGCUUUAAAAGAGAUGUCACCCAGGAGAGAGAGAUCUCACUGCUGUUGGCUUUCACCAUCAUCUGGGAAGGAGGCAACCUUGAAUUCCCAUUGCACUGGGAUGGGGAUUGAGGUCUCAACUCCAAGCAGCUCCCUGAAAACACCCAGGGUGCAGCCCAAGGUCCCUGUUCCCCAUCAAAUGGGACCAUCCCCAGCUCAGGGCAGAGCUUCCCCACAGCACUGGCUCAGCAGGGGCAGGGGGAGAGCUGAGAAAGACCCAUCUUGGACUUGCUGGUACAGAAGCUGUGGAGGGAAACUGUGAUUGCCCACCCCAGGAGCUGCACCCACACUCCCUGACAGCCAACCCAGCCCAGCCAGGGCUGUGACUCAGAGCUGCACUUUGCACCCUCAGAGGCCACACUAAUCCUGACUGAUGCCCAGGGACUGGUGCUGCACCCACUGCAGGUGCAGACCCUGAGCCCCAGAGAUCCCGAGCUCCCACAGCUGCAAACAAAGCAACCCUCUGAGGAGCAAGAUGUCAGGGAGGGAAGGACUUCUCUUCCUACACACUUCAGCAUCUUCUCAAAGGCAACAUAAGCUGGUGUUGAGGUCAGUUAUGUAAGUGCUGCUUUCCAAAGGAGGAGUGGAGGAGUUACCUACACAGGGGAGAGCAGCCCUUGCCCCUUUGCAGGAGAAAAUAUCCCCAUCCCCAACCCAGGGAGGUGCACACUCAGUGGCUGAGGGUUUGGGUUUGUCACAGGUCAGCCACAGCCCCUUUGCCACCAAUAAAAGCUGCAGACAGAACACCCUGGGGUUACAGUGACCCACAACCACACAUUUCCACCUCACCAGUGGCUGCCAGCCCGUGUUUGAUUGGUGCCAUUAGCAAUGGGUGGCCAUUGUUUACCCUGUAAUUUAUUAGAGGCAGCAUUUCCAAAAGGGACCUAAAGUAGGCACCUAAUUCUUAUGGACUUUUAAUGAGCAUUGAACACCUUCAUUAAGCAGCUCUGAAAACCCAAUCUGGAAUGAUUUGGCAGGAACAAAACUGCCCCUGAGCCUCAGGACAGGGUUUGUCACUGGUGGUUUUUUAAAGAGAGGGUGAAAGGUUUGCAUGAGCUGGAGACUGACCCAUGGAUCUGGCCGUUUGUAGAUCACAGAGAAGGACCUGGGCAGCUCAGGGGAGGAGACAACUGUUGUAUUGGGCAGAGAGGGCUCCACCAAGCAAGACCCUGAUCAUCUGCACAGACACCCUCCAUCAGGACACAUUGAGAGGGACUGAACAGUAGAAAAAGUCAGUGGCACCUCAGGUGAGAAAGAGAGAGGGAACAAAUAAAACCCAGGAGUUUGGCAGAGGCAGCCAAAAAGCAGGACAAGACACUUCAUUCUGCAGCUUUCAGCAGGAGAAGACACUGAGCCCUGGCAGAGGUGAAGGGUCACCCCUACCCAGAGCUCUGUCCCCUCUCACCCAGCACUGGUGGCACCACAGCAGUGACACUCCCAGCACAACGGGCUCCUGGACACAGACUUUGGCCCUGCAUUUCCAGGCACUGGAAGGGAGGUUGGAUAUCAACAGCAGACUUGCACAGCUCGAUCCAACUGCCAGAGAAUCACAAGUCACACAGAUAAUUCCAGCAGAGGCCACGUGGCACCUGGUCCUGCCCAGCACGAGGGUUUCAAUGUGCUGCCCACCAGCAACACCCCUGGGCAAGUGAAGGGGCUCCUGUGCAGCCCCCUGAGCUCAUGGAUCACCCUUUCCAUGCUUAGGGAAGAGCAGCUUUCACCUUUAUAGGCUUGGGGGAAGAGGAGAAAAGCGACUGGUUCAGGGAAAGCCUGUGUUUGCCAACAAUCAUUUCUGUGCCUGAGCAUCUCCUACAGAAGGGAAGGAAACUGCAACAGUUCCCUGGGAAUUCAGCUCCAAAGGGUUAAAACACACUUAAGCACACUCAGAGCCAACCAUAAAGGUAUCUCCUGAGCAAAGGCUGGGCACACCAGGAAGUUCAAAGGUCCACAAGAAAUACACACUUCCAGGAGUUCAUUAAAAAAUAAUUAGAAGCAGGUCUACAAAAAAAAAAAAAAAAGUCAACUAAGAAAUUGUUUUGAAUAAAUUAGAAAACGGGGACAGGCUUGUUGGGUCACUGGGACACUGCCUGCUCCGUGUCAAAAGGGAGCUGUGGUCAUUUGAUAGCUGGCACUGAUAAGGCCACAAAUAAGUUUGAGGCUGCAGGUUCAGAGCUCUCUCCUGCAGUUAGAGAGACCAGCUACAGUUUUUGCUCUUAGUUUGUGGGGAAACAAACCCAUUUAUUUACUUUUAAGGCUGCAAAAAGAUUCUCCACCGAGGAGGAAAUCAAACCUACUGUGAAGAGAAAACCCCAAACACGAAUUCCUGUUGGGAGACACUCGAGAUUCAGAAGAGGCAUUAAAAAAGCAACUGCCAGCUCAGGGAGGCAGGUGGUGACAGGUGCUCCUGCUCCUUAAACCCGGGGAAUGGAGCUCCAUUUCCAGCACAGCCCUUUCCAGAGGCUUGGGACACGACCUCUGCUGAGGACAAGCCCCCUCAAAACAAGGACUACGGAGCAAACAACUCCCUAAAACACCUUCCCAUCCUUUUGCUCUCCGUAACAACCACGACCAAACCACACAACUCCACAUCUUCCUUUCCCAAGGGUGGAAAAAAAGGCAAAGCCCAAGCGGUGGGUGAGAGGAAUUAGUCAGGGAUGCAGCGGGAUGUGCUGGGGACGAGCUGCCUCCAGAAAGGCCACAGAAGUGACAAAUCCCGCCCUUAUGUAACGGGUGACAAACGCCUUUUGUUAUGCAAGACAAGUGGGAGAAAAAGAAGCAUCUUUGCCCUUUGUGGGAAGGGAAGAGCAGGCGGCUCCUGCUCGAGCACAAACAACAGGCUGCGGAUCCCGGGGCACCGGCACUGCAGGAACAGAUCCUGGGGAAACGCCUCGUUAUUGGGCUGAGCGAGCACGAAAACACGGGGUCGAUAUUGAAUUGGUCAGUGAUUGAGGAUGUCAGCGCGGUAACGUGGUGAUUUGGUGGGUUUUCUUAAGGAGAGAGGCUACAGGGCAGCCAGCCCUAGCCUUGCUCCCUAGUCAUCUAAAAUUAGGGAUCCCCCUCCCCUUUGCUCCAUACUUGGGCUUUUAGGGUUUUUUAAAAAAUUAAAAAUUUAAAUCAGUAUUCACAUAAUUUAAUUAAUAAAAAUAAUAAUUAAAGAGCUCCACACAUCUGAAUUUAAACAUUGGUCCCAACUCCUUGUUUUCAGACUUGGUGCAAACCCCAGACCCACUUGGGGAUGGAACGCACUUGUCAGCUUGGAGCUGGAACGGGGCAUCCUCUCCCCCUGCAAUCUGCUGGCUCCUGAAGGCUGCAGAAAUCAGAUCCACGACUUGCUCUGGGGAAGAAAUCAGGCUCUGGGCUCUCGGAGACUCUGCAAAGGUUUGUUUAAAAAACAAAACAAAAAAAACACCAAAAAAACCCCAGCCAAACAACUGGCGAAAGGAACGUUAUUUUCCCCUGGGAUUACCCAAGGGCUGCACAGCAAUCCGCUCCCCAUCCAGCUGUGCGGUGCCUCCACCACUCCGCUCCCCAUCCAGCUGUGCGGUGCUCCCACCACUCCGCUCCCCAUCCAGCUGUGCGGUGCUCCCACCACUCCGCUCCCCAUCCAGCUGUGCGGUGCUUCCACCACUCCGCUCCCCAUCCAGCUGUGCGGUGCUCCCACCACUCCCGCGGAGCUCAGGGACCCGCCCCCGCCGUGCUCCCAGUGCCACACGGCGACAGUGACAUCCAGCGGCAGCGACACCCGCCCACAGCAACCCGCGCCCGAGCCUCGGCCACCUCAAAUGCCUGGGAAAUUCCAGCCCCCUCAGGGUGCCGGGAAGGGCUUUGGCUUGAAAACACAGGUUUAGGUGCUGGGUGCCAGCACGGAAGGACAGACACCUCCCAGGGUGAGGAUUUCACCACUCACCUCUCAGCCCUUUGCUGCUUCCUCCCAACAGCCCCACGGUUGAGCAAGAGCUGUUGCCCAGGCAUGAAUCAACCUGGGGUGCUUUGCUCACAGAAAUAUCUCCAAAAGUGGGGGUUUGUUCUUUUGUUCGGUUUUUUUUAAGCCAUUUUGCUGUCCUUCAGCAAAGCCCAGCUCGGUUCCGGGACUCACAGGACAGACACGGCAGCAGCUGUAAAUCAGUUGUUGCCUCCUCAGUGACCUGCAGGGACACAGAGAGAGUCACCUCCACCACCCCUGUGAAGGAGGGACAGGUGAGGGCCUGGCCCAGCCAGUGUCACAUUGUCACCGAGCAGGAGCAGCCUUUCCCUGCUCCCCUGGAGCAGAGGGAUGAGCAGAGGGAUGAGCAGGGAGGACGGGAUCCGUGCUGGGGCUGCAGCAGUCGGGCAGGGAGAAGAGCAGGAGGGAGUGGGGACUGAGACAUCCCAGCCAGUGGUAAUUAGGGUGUCUCCCCAGAGCAGUGUGGAUGUCAAAGCAUAGCUGUGGUUUGCCUUUGGGCCCACCCCAGCCAGGCCACACGUGUGUGUUCCACUGCAAAAAUGCAGCCAGACCUGUCGCAGGGGUGUUUGGCAGCCAGGUCUGGGAACCUCAAAGGGGGAAUGCAGCAGGGAUGGUAACAGCCACUGCUGACAGAUCAGCUCUGCCACAAACAGGUGCCACAGCCUGCCCAGGGAAGGAGGGUUUGUCCCACACGAGCCUCUUUUCAAGCAGCUGAAGUACAAUCACACAUCCUGUGGGAGCUCUCACACACUUGGAGCCAUCUUGAUGUUCAUCCCCUUUUCUCCCCAGUCUCUCUCUCUCUGCCCCUAAAAAAGUCCAGUCUGGGCUGUGACAACUCUGAGGGAGCACUUCAAACCCAAACUGGCAAACUGAGAGUCAAACCCCCAGAGCUGCCAGACAGAGGCUGAGGAGGAGUCCCACAGUGCCCUGCUGGCUGUGGCUCCAGGGAUGAUCCUCCUCUGCUUGGCUGCUUCCCUGGAGGAACAGGGAACCCCCCCCAGCCAAUUCCUGCACCAGGAAAUGCACCCGAGACACAGAGCACGGGAAACACUGGAAACCAGAGCACUUGGAAUGGCAGGAACAUCCCAAGGGCCUGGGGCUGCUCCUGCCUGUGAGCCUGGGUGGGCCACAGAGCAGCUGCUGUCCCCGGGGAUUCCUGAGGACACGGACUUGGGGAUGGAACCAAAUGUGGAACCCACCCAGCCAAGCCCCAGAGCACAGACUGGGCUCACCAGUGUCACUCCUGCCUUCCACCUGGGGGGUUUUUGUUUCUGAGGUUCCCAGACAACAUCAGGAGACCAACAGAAAGACAGAACUUGGUUAAUACAGCAUCACCACCUGCACAAAAAGCAGGGAAUAAAGAUUGUCUCCAUGGUUUCCCAAAACCACAAACCCCUGCAAUACUUGCAGCAUCAUAGCAACAAGCUUGAGCCCAGCAACAUGGAAAUUCUGUUCCUUGAAACCACGUGACCUUAUUUAUUAUUAUCCUGGAGAUUCCCAACAGUUGUGCCCCAGCACUGAGGCUGGAUUGGGGCUGUGGAAGUCCCAGACCUACCUCCAGUGCAUUGUUCCUUCUGUGUAAACCCCAGUGGAGGAGCAGUGUUUGGAGGAAGCAGCAGCUGAUCCUUUCCUUGCUGUGGCAAAAACCCUCUUCAGGGGAUUGGGCAUUGCUGGGUUAGGGUUGGGCUUGAUGAUCCUAAAGGUCUUUUCCAGCCUGAAUGAUUCUGUGAUUCUGAAAGAUCCUGGCUGGGCUUUGGGGUUGGACAGACCUGACUGAUGGUGGAAUCCAGGAUUUAAGGAGACAUCAACAGCUUGGUACAGAAGUCUUUUAGUCUCCUAAAAAAACCCCAAAAGAUCCUUCACUCCCACAUGC